GACGAACGCUGGCGGCGUGCUUAACACAUGCAAGUCGAGCGGUAAGGCCCUUUCGGGGGUACACGAGCGGCGAACGGGUGAGUAACACGUGGGUGACCUGCCCUCAGCUCUGGGAUAAGCCUGGGAAACCGGGUCUAAUACUGGAUAUGACUCCAUGACGCAUGUUGUGGGGUGGAAAGCCUUGUGCGGCUGAGGAUGGGGCCCGCGGCCUAUCAGCUUGUUGGUGGGGUGAGGCCUACCAAGGCGACGACGGGUAGCCGGCCUGAGAGGGCGACCGGGCCACACUGGGACUGAGACACGGCCCAGACUCCUACGGGAGGCAGCAGUGGGGAAUCUUAGCGCAAUGGGCGAAAGCCUGACGCAGCGACGCCGCGUGAGGGAUGACGGCCU
rnacentral:rRNA from 1 species